ACUAGGGUUAAGAAAACGCCAUCAUUAGGUGAUGGUUAGGUCCCAGGUUUCUGGGAAUUAAUUCAAUGAACCCCCCUGGAGCAAGCACAAAGGCGACAGGGGACAAGGAACAACUCUAUGUUAACAUGAAGAAACAUUUAGCCGAAACUUAAGCACAAAGGCGACAGAGGCAAGGAUCAACUCUAUGUUAACAUGAAGAAACAUUUAGCCGAAACUUAAGCACAAAGGGGGGGCCCAUCCGCUUGGAGCCAGCUGGGUAGAGAGGUGGAGAUAUUAGGGGGAGUAGAAAAUGAGGGGUUAUACUGCAACUGACCAAUCCCUUGGUAAAUAUAACCUUUCGUUACAAAAUGUCCAUUCAAAUUAGGGUUCGCCUAUAGCAAGUAAGCUUUACAAAAUAAGUCCUAAUAAGCGGUGGGUGGAGACUAGUGGCACAAGCAAACACUCUGUCUAUGUGAUUGGCCAUGUCUCU
ensembl:lncRNA